AUUGAACGCUGGCGGCAGGCCUAACACAUGCAAGUCGAACGAGUGGCGGACGGGUGAGUACUGUCUGGGAAACUGCCCAGUGGCGGGGGAUAACUACUGGCAACAGUAGCUAAUACCGCAUACGAUUGGAUGUGCCCAUAUGGGAUUAGCUAGUAGGUGGGGUAACGGCUAACCGAGGCGACGAUCCGUAGCUGGUCUGAGAGGAUGACCAGCCACAAUGGAACUGAGACACGGUCCAUACUCCUACGGGAGGCAGCAGUGGGGAAUAUUGCACAAUGGGGGAAAUCCUGAUGCAGCCAUGCCGCGUGUAUGAAGAAGGCCUUCGGGUUGGAAAGUACUUUCAGCAAAGAAGCGUUACUCGCAGAAGAAGCACCGGCUAACUCCGUGCCAGCAGCCGCGGUAAUUC
rnacentral:rRNA from 1 species